rnacentral:lncRNA from 1 species
UGCUGUUUCAGGCCUCUCUGUGUCCAGACUGUCCACUGCCCAGUCUGUUGCAUCCUGAAUCCAUCUGGCUCCAGGCCUUGUUCAGGGGGACCUUGAGAAGAUACAUUGCUUUAGGAAUCUUAAUCCCUGGAUACUUGUUCUGGAAACUGGCAAAAUGGACAGAAUAGGCAGUGAAACAACCGAGUCCAGUUAUUUCUCAUCAACACCAACCCCCAAUUCAACUGUUAACCAGUCUUGGCUCAUUUUACCUAUGUUAUAGUUCUCAUGGUAGUUUUCCUUAUCUUUAUUCUCACUAUAACGUAUUCCAUUCUAGAGGAGAAGUCAGAUAUAUAGAUAGACACAAUAAGGUUUAGGAGGUCCCACCAUGGCUCAGCGGUAAAGAACCUGACUAGUAUCCAUGAGGACGAAGGUUCAAUCCCUGGUCUCGCUCAGUGGGUUAAGGAUCCAGCGUUGCCGUUGUUGUGAGCUGUGAUGUAGCUCGAAGACGUGGCUCAUAUCCUGUGGCAGUAGCCGACGGCUAUAGCUCUCUGAUUCAACCCCUAGCCUGUAACUUCCAUAUGCCAUGAGUGUGGCCCUAAACACACACACACACACACACACACACACACACACACACACACGCACAAAUUUAAUAAGAGCCUCCACAGAAGCACACACUGCUGGCAAUCCAAACUCUGCGGGAGUGCAGGAGGCUGAAGAGCAGUGAUUAUAGUAGCUGCUGUGGGAGUUUCCUAGUAGUCUAAUUAUUAUGACUCGGUGUUUUCAGUGUCCUCUUGACAUCUCUGAUUGGAUGGCUUCCAUAGAACACAAACUUAGUGUGUCCCAAGGUGAACUCCCAGUUCCCUCCAGAACCCUUCAACCCAGGCUCCUCCAUUGCAGUAAAUGACACGACGGUUCUCUCGGCCGCUCACCCCACCCACCGAGGGGCACGCUUGGGCUUCCCUUCCCUUUAUCCCACAUCCCACCCACUAGCAAGUCCUGUGAUUCUACUCCCAAAAUUCACCUCUAGUCCGGCAGCCUGGUCUCACGGGCACCUCCAUGCUCCUGGCCAUGCCCUGCCUCACCUGGGCUCCUGCAGCAGCUGUCUAACUCGUCUCCCCAUUUUCAUGGCUCCCCCUCAGCUUCAGUUGACUAUAUAAUUCAUCAUCCAAACCAAGUCACUGUCCCUUGUGAAAAGGCAAAUUAUUAAUUAUACCUGGGUGACAGGAGUAAACGGACUGUUCUGGACAAAACAGAGCAUAUAGUUACCCUCCCUCUCAGUCUAGCACAUAAACUAUACUUAAAUCAUGUGUCCCCCACUUCAGAUCCUUCAGUGGAUUCCCAUUUUCCCCUAGAAUAUAAUCCAGGUUCUUGUCUUGGCCUACAAAGUUCAAUACAGCUGUUCCUGGCUGUCCUUUACAUCAUCUCAUGCCACAGCCUGCCAAGCUCCCCAUUGUCCAGUCUUGCCAACAAGCCAAAUUCUUUUCUUUCCUUUUUUUAAUAUUGUAGGGCCACACCCGUGGCCUAUGGAGGUUCCCAGGCUGGGGUUGAAUCGGAGUUGUAGCUGCCGCCCUAUGCCACAGCCACAGCAAUGUGGGAUCCGAGCCUCGUCUGGGACCUACACCACAGCUCACGGCAACGCCAGAUCCCUAACUCACUGAUGGAGGCCAGAGAUCAAACCCGCAUCCUUAUGGAUCUGAGUCAAGUUCGUUAACCACUGAGCCAUGAAGGGAACUCCCAACAAGCCAAAUUCUUUAUUAUUAUUAUUAUUUUUAUAGCAUUUUUAAAAUUACUCAAUUACAUGUAUAGUUGUGCAAUGAUCACCACAACCCAAUUUUAUAGCAUUUCUAUCCCAAACCCCAGCACAUCCCCCAACCCCCAAGCCAUCUCAUUCAGAAACUGUAAAUUUUUGAAAGUCUGAGUCAGUAUCUGUUCUGCACAGAAGUUCAUUGUGUCCUUUUUUUUAGAUUACACAUGUCAGUGAUAGCAUUUGAUGUUGGUGUCUCACUGUCUGACUAACUUCCUUAGCAUGAUAAUUUCUAGGUCCGUCCAUGUUGCUGCAAAUGCCAUUAUUUCUUUCCUUUUAAUGGCUGAGUAAUAUUCCAUUGUGUAUAUGUACCACAUCUUCUUUAUCCACUUCUCUGUCAAUGGACAUUUAGGUUGUUCCAUGUCUUGGCUACUGUAUAUGGUGCUGCAAUGAACAUUGGAGUACGUGUUUCUUUUCGAGUCAUGGUUUUCUCUGGAUAGAUGCCCACCAACAAGCCAAAUUCUUAUUUGUCACAGGUCCUUUGCACAUGACAUUUUCUCUACCCAGAACACUAAUCUGCCUACUCUUCAUGUGGCUGGGCAUCUCUUACCUGUGGGGCUCUUCUGAAAUCACUCUAUUGAUAGAUGCCUUCCUGAUCAUCCUGACUGGCCCAUGUGGUUCCCAGGCUAGGGGUCUAAUUGGAGCUGUAGCGACCAGCCUACACCAGAGCCACAGCAACGUGGGAUUCGAGCCGCAUCUGCCACCUACAGCACAGCUCACAGCAACGCCAGAUCCUUAACCCCCUGAGCAAGGCCAGGGAUCAAACCUGUGUCCUCAUGGACGCUAAUCGGGUUCGUUAAUCACUGAGCCAUGACGGGAACUCCCUUAACCAGGUUUCAAUAUGUGGGAUUCUUUUACUAAUUUUCUGGUUUAUUCUUAUUUUUGUUUGGAAUUUAUUUUGGACCAUCUUCUGCUCCGUAUUAUAAAAUUGGUAAGAGAGGUGAGCUUCUCUCUCUUGUUUAUACCUGAAUAUCCCGUACCUGGCGUAUUAUGGGAUGUCAAGAAUGUUUAUUGAAAAUGAAUAAUUGCAUUAAUUUGUUAUUUUACUAAUAAAAAGGUUUUUUUCUCCCCACAGAAGAUCUGUCUAGUUAGAAGGACAGGAAGGAGCUAAUGAAGAGGGAGACACUAACAAUAAAGAAGAAGGAAUAAUACGGGAAUCAAAGGGAAGCAAGAAGCAGGGGAUCAAAGCUAUAAAGGAUGCUUAACCUCAAGGGAAGCAGAAAAGUAAAAUAUGAAGGAAAUGGGUUCAGGGGACACAGCACCUUUGAGGUGGAGGCCCUAGAACCUGCAAGAACUCAGUUGUACCUGCUAUUGUGCAUGACUGUCCCUAUGUCUCAUCACACGCCUCUGUGUUUGCCCAUUUUCUUGUCUGGCUUUAGAGCAAGUAGGUAGGAAACUCAAGGCCAAAGGCACGUCUCUUUUAUUGUAUGCUAUCUUUGUAUGUCAGCCACAGUGCCUCACAAAUAGUUGCUUUAGACAUAUUUGUUGAGAUGGAUGAAUGAAAUCUGAGAAGAGGUAUUGGGGAGAAGUGGACAGAACCUGGAGGAGGGUUUGGGAGUUGUAGAAAGUACAGAUGUGGCUUGGAUCUGCAGAAUGUACUGAUGAGUCACUUUGAGGUAACUGCUUUAUCUACACCUAUGUCACCCUAAGGGACCAACCAAAAUGAAAUAAUUUUACUUUCUCGUAGAAAACGUUUAGUUUUCUGUACCAAUGCUUUGUGCACUCUCUCAUAGAAAUGAAAAUUAAGAUGGAACUGGCCCUUUAUUGUGUCAAAUUUAACUUCAAAUUUUAUGAGUUUUCCUUUGUUUUAUAUAGUGAAAUAUUAUUGUUCUAUUCUCCUGCUCUGACCGUUUUUGGCUGUGUGACCUUGAAUAUAUUACUAAACCUCUC